rnacentral:lncRNA from 12 species
AGGAGCUAAAGGAGAAAAUAAUAUUUUUGGAGAGAGAAUGCAUAAGGAAACCUGACUGUAGCAGACUCUUGCCUAGUGAGGUGAGUGAGUUCUCCAAUGGUGCGGAAAAUAAUAUUUUUGGAGGGAGAAUGCAUAAGGAAACCUGACUUGUAGCAGACUCUUACCUAGUGAGAGAGUGUGGAGCUGUUUCUCACACAAAGUCUGUUCCUUGGUCACCACAUCUGCAGAAAGAGGAGACAUUUCCCAUUAAUGCUGGAGCCACAACCUGGUGUCCACACCAGAAAUAUAUUGGUUUCCAGGGGCACUGAUGGAGCUUCAUAAUCAAGAUCUAGGAAGACAAGAAAUUACUGAGCUCAUCGGGCUGCAGCCACUCGAAUAUGUGAUCAAAGAGCGUUUCCAGUGGUGUCUCCAUCUGUGGAGCGAGGUUGUGGAGGGCAUGGUGCAACUGCUCCUCUCUGUUCUGGAGUCUGGAAAUGCAAAUUUCACUGAAUUUUCUCCUCCCAAGGCUCAUCACCCAAUCCUUAAUUCAUCCAGGCUCUGUUCAGCAGGCAGAGGUGCCAUUUGUGAAUUGCCUGACACGGUGCUUGCAUCUGGGACGAGGCAGCAGCACAGAAAAAUCAAAACACAUCUCCCCACAAUUACUGCCUUUGUUUGCUUGACAGAGGAUGCAAAGGAAAUCUUUUGCAAAAAGCCCACAUUGCUAACUCACCAAUUCUCCAAGUGAUGCCUCACACAGGUUGCAU